UCAAUAAACGUUAAGAGAAUCUCUGUUUGAUUUUGUGUUUCUGCAGAUGUGAACUUGUGUGUGAAGAACUUGGGUAUGUAUUAUCUAAUUCAUAUGAAGAUGUGGACUGGGAGAGAAAUGAUGCCAAGGUCUCUGACUUGAACAGCUGUACUUUCAAAUUGACAUUCCUGAGAUCUGGAAGACUAAAGGAUGGCCGGUGAGAAAUCUGGGAAGCUGGAUACUAAGGAAAGAGAAACUUGAAGCCAAGAAGGCUGAUGCUGGUGGCAAGAAUGGAAGAAGUUGAGUAAAACCACACACCAGAGAGGUGAGAUCUUCAACACAGAGAAAGAGAUAUAUUAGAUUGUAGAGCAGCGCAGGUUGAUCAGAAAGUUCGGGACACACAAAUUCUGCCAAA